ACACAUGCAAGUCGAGGGGAAACGACAUCGAAAGCUUGCUUUUGAUGGGCGUCGACCGGCGCACGGGUGAGUAACGCGUAUCCAACCUGCCCACCACUUGGGGAUAACCUUGCGAAAGUAAGACUAAUACCCAAUGAUAUCUCUAGAAGACAUCUGAAGGAGAUUAAAGAUUUAUCGGUGAUGGAUGGGGAUGCGUCUGAUUAGCUUGUUGGCGGGGUAACGGCCCACCAAGGCUACGAUCAGUAGGGGUUCUGAGAGGAAGGUCCCCCACAUUGGAACUGAGACACGGUCCAAACUCCUACGGGAGGCAGCAGUGAGGAAUAUUGGUCAAUGGACGAGAGUCUGAACCAGCCAAGUAGCGUGCAGGAUGACGGCCCUAUGGGUUGUAAACUGCUUUUAUAAGGGAAUAAAGUGAGUCUCGUGAGACUUUUUGCAUGUACCUUAUGAAUAAGGACCGGCUAAUUCCGUGCCAGCAGCCGCGGUAAUACGGAAGGUCCGGGCGUUAUCCGGAUUUAUUGGGUUUAAAGGGAGCGUAGGCCGGAGAUUAAGCGUGUUGUGAAAUGUAGAUGCUCAACAUCUGCACUGCAGCGCGAACUGGUUUCCUUGAGUACGCACAAAGUGGGCGGAAUUCGUGGUGUAGCGGUGAAAUGCUUAGAUAUCACGAAGAACUCCGAUUGCGAAGGCAGCUCACUGGAGCGCAACUGACGCUGAAGCUCGAAAGUGCGGGUAUCGAACAGGAUUAGAUACCCUGGUAGUCCGCACGGUAAACGAUGGAUGCCCGCUGUUGGUCUGAAUAGGUCAGCGGCCAAGCGAAAGCAUUAAGCAUCCCACCUGGGGAGUACGCCGGCAACGGUGAAACUCAAAGGAAUUGACGGGGG
rnacentral:rRNA from 1 species